rnacentral:rRNA from 1 species
AUGGCAUCCUUGGCCCUCAUGCUCACCCUCACCCUCACCCUCAUGCUCCUGCAUGUUCCUUCACCUGCGGUAUGCGACGACCAAGGUGCAGGCCUCUCUCCAAGCCAUCGCACAUACAUUGUGAUGCUGAGGCCACCCGUCGAAGCGGGCAGCGAGGACGACCACCGCUGGUGGCAGGAUUCCUUCCUGCCAACGCCUCUCGCCGGCUCCGAUGAGCCACGCCUCAUCCAUGCCUACACCGAGGUCUUCACGGGGUUUGCCGUGAGGCUCACCGAAGACGACCUCGCCAUGGUGUCCCAGAGGAAAGAGUUUAUGCGGGCGUUUCCAGACCAUCUCUGGCGCCCCAGCACCACUCACACUCCGGAGUUCCUUGGACUGGAGAAAGAUGCCGGGCUGUGGAGGGACACCAACUAUGGCCAAGGAGUCAUAAUCGGGGUCCUGGACACCGGCAUAUAUUCAGAGCAUCCUUCCUUUGAUGACAGUGGCAUCCCGCCACCCCCAUCAAAGUGGAAGGGCUCAUGCCAUGGCGCUGCACGCUGCAAUAACAAGUUGAUAGGUGCCAAAUUCCAUGUUCUCAGAGCAAAUGAUUCCGGAGAUGACACGGGGCAUGGAACACAUACCUCGUCCACUGCAGCUGGGAACUUCAUCAGUGAUGUCUCAGUCCACGGCCUCGGCAGGGGGACAGCCGCCGGGAUUGCUCCAGGUGCACAUUUGGCCAUGUACAGGGUGUGCACAGCUCUGGGGUGUUCAGUCAAGGACAUACUAGCCGGGUUUGACGAUGCUAUCAAGGAUGGGGUUGAUGUGCUCUCGCUCUCCCUCGAACCUGUUUCCGAUGUCAGCUUCAGCGAAGACCCAGUCGCCAUUGGCGCACUCAGUGCGGUAACGAAGGGCAUUGUUGUCGUGGCUGCAGCUGGGAACAAUGGACCCAAGUCAUUUGUUGCCAAUUCUGCACCAUGGUUGCUUACAGUCGCAGCUGGCUCGGUGGACCGAAGCUUUGAGACUGUUGUGCAGCUUGGGAACCGCAACGACAUCAAUGGGGAAGCUCUUAACCAGACUUCUAACUCAAGCUCCAAGUCAUUCCCUUUGUAUGUGGACAAACACUGCAAGUCGUCAGCUGGAAGAAAUGUGGCCGGCAAAAUUGUAAUUUGCCAUAACACAGGAACAAUGAGUGACAGAGGAUCUUCACUAAACCAGUCUGACAUCAGUGGCAUCAUGAGUGCCGGGGCGGCUGGCGUAGUGCUGAUCAAUAGCAAAGAUGCUGGCUUCACCACCCUUCUCGAGGACUAUGGCAAUGUUGUGCAGGUGACCGUGGCUGAUGGCAACAAUAUCACAGAGUAUGUGAGGACAACAAGCAAACCCAGUGCCAAAGUCAUCUACAAAAACACUGUGCUUGGUGUCCGGCCAUCUCCCACUGUCGCGGCAUUUUCAUCCCGUGGCCCUAGCAGUUUAAGCCCUGGCGUGCUAAAGCCUGAUAUAUUAGCACCUGGGCUCAACAUCCUUGCUGCAUGGCCACCUCUCACCAUGUUUGGUUCUGGUCCAUUCAAUAUUAUAUCUGGUACAUCCACAUCGACUCCACAUGUCAGUGGCAUCGCUGCGCUUGUCAAGAGUUCCCAUCCUGACUGGUCUGCGGCUGCCAUCAAGUCAGCCAUCCUCACUACAUCUGACAUCACGGACAGCACUGGUGGCCCGAUCUUGGAUGAGCAACCGCAUAUGCCAUGGGUGCUGGCCAUGUCAACCCUAGGCCUGGAAAUCAUUGUGCGUGACCCGAGGUUGUCCUGCAAGAUGCUUCCCAAGAUACCAGAAGCAUUCUUGAACUAUCCCACCAUAACGGUGCCACUCAAGACAAGACCAUUCACAGUGAACAGAACUGUGACAAAUGUGGGGCCAGCCAAUUCAGUAUACAUACUGAAGAUGGAGAUUCCCAGCUCUCUUACAGUGCGAGUCUACCCGGAGAUGCUGGUGUUCUCCAAGGCUGGAGAAAAGAAAACGUUUAGCAUGACGGUGAGCACCAGCAGCAGUGAUGGGAAUAAGUUUAUCGAGGGAAGCUUCAGCUGGGUGUCAGUGCACCACGUCGUGCGCAGCCCAAUCGUCGCUUUGUCGUUCUAG